GGAGGAAUACCCAAGUCCGGCUGAAGGGAUCGGUCUUGAAAAACCGACAGGGGCUUAACGGCUCGCGGGGGUUCGAAUCCCUCUUCCUCCGCCA
rnacentral:tRNA from 1 species